AGCUCCAAUAGCGUAUAUUAAAGUUGUUGCAGUUAAAAAGCUCGUAGUUGAAUUUCUGGUCAAUCGUAGUCUUGGCUUCGGUCGGGCUAUGGUUGGUCAUCCGUUUGCAAGCUGCACUCGGCCUUCACUGGUUCGGUGUAGUGAGCUGACAUUUUACUUUGAAAAAAUUAGAGUGUUUCAGGCAGGCUUUUGCCCGAAUACAUUAGCAUGGAAUAAUGGAAUUGGACUCUGGUCCAUUUGGUUGGUUAUUGGAUCUGAGUAAUGGUUAAUAGGGACAGUUGGGGGCAUUAGUAUUUAAUUGUCAGAGGUGAAAUUCUUGGAUUUAUUAAAGACUAACUUAUGCGAAAGCAUUUGCCAAGGAUGUUUUCA
rnacentral:rRNA from 1 species